GUGCUCACUUUGGCAGCACAUAUACUAAAACUGGAAUGAUACAGAGGUUAGCAUUGCCCCUGUGCAAGGAUGACAUGCAUAUUUGUGAGGCGAAAGUAAAUGAC
ensembl:snRNA U6 U6 spliceosomal RNA